rnacentral:rRNA from 1 species
GGGAGUAAUACCCGAUUCGUGACCGAUGCUGGAAUGCUUGGUAACAUAAAGCUCCGGCGCCCGAGGAUGGGUCUGCGGCGGAUUAGGUUGUCGCCGGUGUAACGUACCGACGAGCCGAUAAUCCGUACGGGUUGUGAGAGCAAGAGCCCGGAGAUGGAUUCUGAGACACGAAUCCAGGCCCUACGGGGCGCAGCAGGCGCGGAAACUUUACAAUGCAGGAAACUGCGAUAAGGGAACUCUGAGUGUUUGGGACAUUCUCAAACUGUUCGGGUACCUAAAUAGUAUCUGAUAGUAAGGGCCGGGCAAGACCGGUGCCAGCCGCCGCGGUAACACCGGCGGCCCGAGUGGUAACCGAUAUUAUUGAGCUUAAAGGGCCCGUAGCCGGCUUGGCAAGUCCCUUGGGAAAUCUAACGGCUUAACCGUUAGGCGUUCAGGGGAUACUACCAGGCUUGGGACCGGGAGAGGCAGGAGGUACUCCGGGGGUAGGGGUGAAAUCCUGUAAUCCUCGGGGGGACCACCGGUGGCGAAGGCGUCCUACCAGAACGGCUCCGACGGUGAGGGACGAAAGCUAGGGGCA